GACAGAGGUGCCAAGCGUUAGGCGGAAUCACUGGGCUUAAAGCGUGUGUAGGCGGAAUGGUAAGUACCUUGUGAAAUCCCACGGCUCAACCGUGGAACUGCUUGGUAUACUGCUUUUCUUGAGCCACUUAGGGGCUGUCGGAACAAACGGUGGAGCGGUGAAAUGCGUAGAUAUCAGGAGGAACACCAAUGGCGAAGGCAGCUCGCUGGGACGGUACUGACGCUGAGACGCGAAAGCGUGGGGAGCAAACAGG
rnacentral:rRNA from 1 species